UCCGGUAGCGAAGCCUCUAUCUCGUCCUCUGCUCCCGCGGGGGUCUGGGCUGAGAAUAAUGGCCCGGUUGGCCCGGGACGAGUGGAACGAUUAAUGAUGUUUUGCAGCAGUUUUCUACGUCUGAAAUUUUUUGUCUCUGGAACCCAGAAUUUGCUAAGAGAUGGAGGAACCUCAGAAAAGCUAUCUGAACACAAUGGACCUUGAGAAAGAUGAACCUCUCAAAAGCACCGGCCCUCAGAUUUCUGUUAGUGAAUUUUCUUGCCACUGCUGCUACGACAUCCUGGUUAACCCCACCACCUUGAACUGUGGGCACAGCUUCUGCCGUCACUGCCUUGCUUUAUGGUGGGCAUCUUCAAAGAAAACAGAAUGUCCAGAAUGCAGAGAAAAAUGGGAAGGUUUCCCCAAAGUCAAUAUUCUCCUCAGGUGGUCCUGCUUGUCUAUCACUGGAGCAGCAGGGAAUCUGAACACGACCUCCUGGUCCACAAGGCUGUGGCCAAAUGGACGGCGGAAGAAGUUGUCCUCUGGCUGGAGCAGCUGGGCCCUUGGGCCUCUCUUUACAGGGAAAGGUUUUUAUCUGAACGAGUAAAUGGAAGGUGAGGAGCAAAGUCUUCUGACACACCAUGGACAUUUUAGAAAACAGCUUUAUUGAGAUAUAAUCCAGGCCAGGCGCGGUGGCUCACACCUGUAUCCCAGCACUUUGGGAGGCCGAGGCGGAUGGAUCAUUUGAGGUCGGGAGUUCGAGACCAGCCUGACCAAUACGAUGAAACCCCAUCUCUACUAAAAAUACAAAAAAAAAAUUGACCGGGCGUGGUAGUGCACACCUUGUAAUCCCAUCUAUUUGGGAGGCUGAGACAGGAGAAUCACUUGAACCCAAGAGGUGGAGGUUGCAGUGAGCCAAGAUCAUGCCACUGCACUCCAGCCUAGGUUAGGCAACAGGGCAAGAAUCCAUCUCAAAAAAAGAGAGAGAGAGAUGUAAUCCACAUAAAAUUCACACGUUUGAAGUGCACAAUCCAUGGUUUUUAAUGUGUUCACAAAUAGUGUGAUUAUCACCACAGCUGGUUUUAGAACAUUUUCAUCACCCUAAAAGAAAGCUUUUACCCUUUAGUCAAUCCUCAUUUCUCUCCAACCCCAAGCCCCUGGCAAACACCAUUCUACUUUCUGUCUCUAUGGAUUUGUCUA
rnacentral:sRNA from 1 species